rnacentral:rRNA from 1 species
GCACGUGGGGUGUCUUAAUACUGCAGUCGAGCGAAUGGAUUGGAGCUUGCUCUUAUGAAAUUAGCGGCGGACAGUCUGAGUAACUCGUGGGUAACCUGCCCAUAAGACUGGGAUAACUCCGGGAAACCGGGGCUAAUACCGGAUAACAUUUUGAACCGCAUGGUUCGAAAUUGAAAGGCGGCUUCGGCUGUCACUUAUGGAUGGACCCGCGUCGCAUUAGCUAGUUGGUGAGGUAACGGCUCACCAAGGCAACGAUGCGUAGCCGACCUGAGAGGGUGAUCGGCCACACUGGGACUGAGACACGGCCCAGACUCCUACGGGAGGCAGCAGUAGGGAAUCUUCCGCAAUGGACGAAAGUCUGACGGAGCAACGCCGCGUGAGUGAUGAAGGCUUUCGGGUCGUAAAACUCUGUUGUUAGGGAAGAACAAGUGCUAGUUGAAUAAGCUGGCACCUUGACGGUACCUAACCAGAAAGCCACGGCUAACUACGUGCCAACUUCCGCGGUAAUACGUAGGUGGCAAGCGUUAUCCGGAAUUAUUGGGCGUAUAGCGCGCGCAGGUGGUUUCUUAAGUCUGAUGUGAAAGCCCACUGCUCAACCGUGGAGGGUCAUUGGAAACUGGGAGACUUGAGUGCAGAAGAGGAAAGUGGAAUUUCAUGUGUAGCGGUGAAAUGCAUAGAGAUAUGCAGGAACACCAGUGGCCAAUGCGACUUUCUGGUCUGUAACUGACACUGAGGCGCGAAAGCGUGUGGAGCAAACGUGAUUAGAUACCCUGGUAGUCCACGCCGUCAACGAUGAGUGCUAAGUGUUAGAGGGUUUCCGCCCUUUAGUGCUGAAGUUCACGCAUUAAGCACUCCGCCUGGUGAGUACGGCCGCAGGGCUGAAACUCAACAGGAACUGGACGGGCGCCCCGCACAAGUCAGUGAGCAUGUGGUCUUAAUUUCUCAGCAGCGACGAAGAACCUUGAGCAUGCUCUUGGACAUCCUCAUGACCACCCUAGAGAAAGGUGCGUCUCACUCCGGCAACAGAGUGACAGCGUAGCUGCAUGAUGCGUCAGCUCCGGUCCGUGAACUGAUGGGUAAGUCCCGCAACAGCCGCCAGCCAAUUGGAUCGUGAGUAGCCAUACAGUUCCAAUGCACUCAAAGGUUGACCGUCCGGUCAACCAGAGUAGUAUGACUCAUCACCUAGCCUUAUGACCUGCAUACCACCGUGCCUUACAAGAG